rnacentral:rRNA from 1 species
UGGGGAAUAUUGGACAAUGGGCGCAAGCCUGAUCCAGCAAUGCCGCGUGUGUGAAGAAGGCCUGCGGGUUGUAAAGCACUUUUAUCGGGAAAGAAAUCCUUGGAGUUAAUACCUCCAGGGCUUGACGGUACCCGAGGAAUAAGCACCGGCUAACUCAGUGCCAGCAGCCGCGGUAAUACUGAGGGUGCAAGCGUUAAUCGGAAUUACUGGGCGUAAAGCGAGUGUAGGCGGCUUCGUAAGUCGGAUGUGAAAGCCCUGGGCUUAACCUGGGAAUGCCAUUCGAUACUGCGCGGCUAGAGUUUGAUAGAGGAAAGUGGAAUUCCAGGUGUAGCGGUGAAAUGCGUAGAUAUCUGGAGGAACAUCAGUGGCGAAGGCGGCUUUCUGGAUCAAAACUGACGCUGAGGCUCGAAAGCGUGGGUAGCAAACAGGAUUAGAUACCCUGGUAGUCCACGCCCUAAACGAUGUCAACUAGACGUUGGCCCCAUUUAAGGGGUUAGUGUCGAAGCUAACGCGUUAAGUUGACCGCCUGGGGAGUACGGCCGCAAGGUG